rnacentral:rRNA from 1 species
AUUGAACGCUGGCGGCAGGCUUAACACAUGCAAGUCGAGCGGGGGAAGGUAGCUUGCUACCGGACCUAGCGGCGGCCGGUUGAGUAACGCUUAGGAAUCUGCCUAUUAGUGGGGGACAACAUCUCGAAAGGUAUGCUAAUACCGCAUACGUCCUACGGGAGAAACCAGGGGAUCUUCGGACCUUGCGCUACUAGAUGAGCCUAAGUCGGAUUAGCUAGUUGGUGGGGUAAAGGCCUACCAAGGCGACGAUCUGUAGCGGGUCUGAGGGGAUGAUCCGCCACACUGGGACCGAGACACGGCCCAGACUCCUACGGGAGGCAGCAGUGGGGAAUAUUGGACAAUGGGGGGAACCCUGAUCCAGCCAUGCCGCGUGUGUGAAGAAGGCCUUAUGGUUGUAAAGCACUUUAAGCGAGGAGGAGGCUACUUUAGUUAAUACCUAGAGAUAGUGGACGUUACUCGCAGAAUAAGCACCGGCUAACUCUGUGCCAGCAGCCGCAGUAA